UACGGAGGGUGCAAGCGUUAUCCGGAUUUAUUGGGUUUAAAGGGUGCGCAGGCGGGUCCUUAAGUCAGUGGUGAAAUCCCGUAGCUCAACUACGGAACUGCCAUUGAUACUGAGGUUCUUGAAUGUAGUUGACGUUAGUGGAAUGUGUCAUGUAGCGGUGAAAUGCUUAGAUAUGACACAGAACACCGAUCGCGAAGGCAGCUAACGAAGCUAUUAUUGACGCUCAGGCACGACAGCAUGGGGAGCAAACAGG
rnacentral:rRNA from 1 species